UCUGCUUGCCACGGCUCUGUCAUCUGCCAAACUCAAUCAGGAUUUCAGAGAAAUAGGCAAAGCCUGAGGAACCCCCUCACACCAAGGGUAUUCUGAUGUCAGCCUCUGUAGUCUCUGUUGGGUAUUUGGCUGAUAUCCUGACACCUUACAGAUAAAAACAAUCAAGGACUCUCCCAUCCCAACUGACUGAGUCACCCAGAAGAAAAAGACCAUCCAGAAGAAAGAGACUAUCCAGUGAUAGAGGUCACUUCACCAAGCCCUUUAGCUGUUGGCUUGCUUCAAGGGCUCCAGGAGGAUGGAGAAAGGGGAGAAUGUGAGUGCAGUUCCCCACUACCACAAAUUAUGCAGUUGAAUUUCCCACGUUUGGAGAAAUUGCAGGAGUCAGCACAGCAGGAGUGCAGUGGGUGAGCCUCACCCUAAGGAGACCACCUUUGUGAUCAUGAUAACUACCCUACAAGACCUCUCAGGCCCUGCCCAUUUGACCAAUCAAGCAGCUAAUGCUCCGCUGUGGCUCCUGCCAGGACUCCUGCGGUCUAGUUUGGAAGAAGGGAGAAUCCAUAUCUUCAGGGACCCAAUGCCCUUCCCUCCCUCCCUCCCUAC